UGAUUACAGCGCCCAAGCUCUGCCGCCCUGCGGGCUGCUUGCAGAGGGCAGAGCGGCAGAGCUUGAGGCGCGCCCCGGCAUGAGCAGGAAGCGGGGGAGGGGCCCCGCGGAGUGCGAAUGAAGGGGCGGAUUGCGGGAGCGCAGAGCGCGGAGCAAUCCGGGAAUCA
rnacentral:sRNA from 1 species